GUGGCAAUGAUGAGUGGCGCAGGGGUACAGACCUCAGCUGGAUGAUGGGAGCUGAGUGCGGUCAUUCCUUGUUCUGCCCACGUGUGGUGGGCUUUCCGAGAAAUGGCUGCAUGAGAACAAUCGCCUACCACUGAGCCAC